GAAGAUUUAAAAAUUUUAUUUGAAUUAAAGUCCUAAUUCUUAAAUGUUUCAAAAAAUUAGUAAUAUUUUCUUAACAAAGAAGAAAAUGAGAUUGGAUUCUCUUUGACAAAUUGCUGGAUAAACUACACCUUUUACUAAAGUUAACUGGCAUUAUUUAAUGAUUUCAGGAGAGACAGCUAUGCGUUUGGUUGAAUCAUCCUUGAGAACAUCAGAACACCGACACAUCAACAUCUUUGUCAACUUUUAUUCAGGUACCUUGGCAAUGUAAAAUCUGUUUGAAAUGGUCUGUUAUCAAGCAUGGCACUUCUGAGCUUUCAGAAAAAAUCGUAGCCCUUACACCAAUCAGCUUCCUCUUCCUUUCUUUGUUUUUAAAAAUCAUCCCCUUCUUCCUUUCUUUGUUUUUCAUUUUGGUAGAUUGAUGCAGCUUUUGUUACAUUUAAACUAAAGCAAGCUAUAGAUUAUCCAGAAGUUUCCUCUAUUAAAAGCUUCUUCUCAAUGGUUGU
rnacentral:misc_RNA from 1 species